rnacentral:rRNA from 1 species
CGCUGGCGGCGUGCUUAACACAUGCAAGUCGAACGAGGCUGAUAUUAGCUUGCAUUUGAAGCCGAGUGGCAAACGGGUGAGUAACGCGUAGACAACCUGCCGCAAAGAUGGGGACAACAGUCCGAAAGGACUGCUAAUACCGAAUGUUGUCAGAUUCCCGCAGUGGGAGACUGAUUAAAGGUGGCCUCUACUUGUAAGCUAUCGCUUUGCGACGGGUCUGCGUCUGAUUAGCUGGUUGGUGGGGUAACGGCCUACCAAGGCGACGAUCAGUAGCCGGUCUGAGAGGAUGAACGGCCACAUUGGAACUGAGACACGGUCCAGACUCCUACGGGAGGCAGCAGUGGGGAAUCUUCCGCAAUGGGCGAAAGCCUGACGGAGCAACGCCGCGUGAAGUGAAGAAGGGUUUCGGCUCGUAAAGCUCUGUUGACGGGGACGAAUGUGCGAAAUGCGAAUAGUUUUUCGCAAUGACGGUACCCGUCGAGGAAGCCACGGCUAACUACGUGCCAGCCGCGGC